UUUAUUUAUAGAUCCUUUACAGAUCCUUUGUGGACUUGUGAACAAAUUGAAUUAUAUCUCACCAUGUUUUGGGCUCUUUGAGACAUUUUAUAUCGAGCCUGAUGUAUCUACCAGAUAGCCGCUAGAGGCACUUCCUAGAUUCUAGCGGACGUUGAGUCCCUUAAACAACAUUAGAUGCCCUCGUACUCUGCAUGAGGACAUCCAGCAUUAGAGCAUCAGUGAAAUCCCCAUAGGGAUU